UACGUAGGGCGCAAGCGUUGUCCGGAAUUAUUGGGCGUAAAGAGCUCGUAGGCGGUUUGUCGCGUCUGCUGUGAAAACCUAAGGCUCAACCUUGGGCUUGCAGUGGGUACGGGCAGACUAGAGUGCGGUAGGGGUGACUGGAAUUCCUGGUGUAGCGGUGGAAUGCGCAGAUAUCAGGAGGAACACCGAUGGCGAAGGCAGGUCACUGGGCCGCAACUGACGCUCAGACACGACAGCAUGGGGAGCGAACGGG
rnacentral:rRNA from 1 species